rnacentral:rRNA from 1 species
CCUACGGGUGGCAGCAGUGAGGAAUAUUGGUCAAUGGACGCAAGUCUGAACCAGCCAUGCCGCGUGCAGGAAGACGGCUCUAUGAGUUGUAAACUGCUUUUGUACGAGGGUAAACGCAGAUACGCGUAUCUGUCUGACAGUAUCGUACGAAUAAGGAUCGGCUAACUCCGUGCCAGCAGCCGCGGUAAUACGGAGGAUUCAAGCGUUAUCCGGAUUUCUUGGGUUUAAAGGGUGCGUAGGCGGUCGGAUAAGUUAGAGGUGAAAUCCCGAGGCUAAACUUCGGAAUUGCCUCUGAUACUGUUAGGCUAGAGAGUAGUUGCGGUAGGCGGAAUGUAUGGUGUAGCGGUGAAAUGCUUAGAGAUCAUACAGAACACCGAUUGCGAAGGCAGCUUACCAAGCUACGUCUGACGUUGAGGCACGAAAGCGUGGGGAGCAAACAGGAUUAGAUACCCCGGUAGUC